rnacentral:lncRNA from 1 species
UUCCUCAAUUAGUUUAGAUGCACGAAAUUAAUAACUUUGUCUUGUAAGUGUUACAGAGAGUUUGGAGUCCUAUGUGUGUUAGUUAGUGCAUCAUUGUCAUCUACUAUGAUGGAUCUGUCUCCGUUGGCUGGUCAAAAUGAGCGGUAGGUGAUUGUAUGAUAUAGUUACAUAAAAAUUAGACCAAUGUGAAUAGUUAAUCUUAAAUAUCUUUGCAGGUUUACUAUCCCUCAUAAUCAAAGUGAAGGUCCAUCAUCUAGUGUUCGUGAAUGGACCGAUUGGGAAGUGAGAAGUACAAUUGAUAAUGAUGACGUAAUUAGAAGGGAUGAGGAGUAUGUUAUUGAAAGUGAUGAAGAGGAUCAAAGGCGAAUUGAUGCUGUUCUAGUGAUGAUAAGGAAUCCUUUGUUCCGCAUUCUUUGGAACCUGAUCAUGACGGAGGUUUGAAUGCACUCGCAUGCGCCAUUCGAGAUGAAAGUGUUGAAUGGAUUGAAAAUUCAAAUGUCAACAACGAUGAUGUAUCGGAUCUGGUAGAAUUC